AUUGAACGCUGGCGGCAUGCUUUACACAUGCAAGUCGGACGGCAGCACAGAGAAGCUUGCUUCUUGGGUGGCGAGUGGCGAACGGGUGAGUAAUAUAUCGGAACGUACCGAGUAAUGGGGGAUAACUAAUCGAAAGAUUAGCUAAUACCGCAUAUUCUCUGAGGAGGAAAGCAGGGGACCUUCGGGCCUUGCGUUAUUCGAGCGGCCGAUAUCUGAUUAGCUAGUUGGUGGGGUAAAGGCCUACCAAGGCGACGAUCAGUAGCGGGUCUGAGAGGAUGAUGCGCCACACUGGGACUGGGACACGGCCCAGACUCCUACGGGAGGCAGCAGUGGGGAAUUUUGGACAAUGGGCGCAAGCCUGAUCCAGCCAUGCCGCGUGUCUGAAGAAGGCCUUCGGGUUGUAAAGGACUUUUGUCAGGGAAGAAAAGGCUGUUGCUAAUAUCGACAGCUGAUGACGGUACCUGAAGAAUAAGCACCGGCUAACUACGUG
rnacentral:rRNA from 1 species